ensembl:lncRNA
AUGAAAGACUGCCCAUAUUGUGGAAAAACAUUCAGAACAUCACAUCACUUAAAGGUCCACUUGAGAAUACAUACAGUCCUGCAGGAGUGCAAACAAAUAGAUAGCCGAUGUCUUCUGGCCCCUUGUCCCGGUGAUGGGGCCGUGAGUAUGUGUGCACACUCACCUGAGCAGAAGGAAGCCCGAGCAGACGUGACACGUCCCAGGUUAGUGAUUCCUGCCCAUCAGGAGUUUGUCUUGUGUGUCUCCCGCUGAACACAGCCGUGCAUCUUCUUGGGGGAGCAGCAGAACUUAAUAAGGUGAUAGCGAAAAACUCAGAAGUUGCACUGAAAUGUUUAAUUCUGAUUUCCUCCGUUAAGCUGUGUGGACCCAGGCCUAACCCUGCUAAUUCCUACCUCUGCCUCAGCUGAACACCUCUUGUUUGAGGUGCUGCACUUUCCUGCUUGAAACAGGUCGAUUAACGUGGUUGAUAUAAAGCUCUCAUGUCUCACCAUUUAGCUUUGGGAUUACAUAUGGAUUUAGGAUUUUUGCUCCUUGUAAUUCACUUGAGCCCUGUCUGAAUUACAGCACAUAACCAGCCACUGUAUGGCUAGUUUGAGGGUUUUGUGGUGCAUCUCAUUAGUAAGUUCCUGUGAUCAGUGCAAGGAGCAGCUUCCCAAGUAUCCAACAGCCUUUCAACUGAGCCUGCAGCUUAUACAAAGAAAGUUGGAAAGCCUUUCAAUUUUGUUUUAAGCAGAUUUUGAGAUUAUUUGAAAAUGGGUGACUUUCCAGCUGGUUUGGUAAACUGCAGAAUAUCAUACAGCCUUUUUUUCUUUUUUUCUUUUUUUCCCCCACUGUGUAGAAAUCUUUUGAAGCAUGUUUUUCCACCAGCAUUCAGGAGAGGUUGGUCAUUGUCUUUUAGAGGAAAAGCUAUGUAGAAAAAACUAUUUCUUCUUCUUGUUCAGCUCCCUGGUAGAAAUAAUUGUCAGUACUGGCAGCUUGCAGGUCUCUCACACUCCAGUCUCUUCCAGUGAGUAUCUCCAAACUUCCUUUUAAAGGAGCUCUGCAUUGCUCACAAGUGCUCCAUACAAGUUUGGAUGUACAUUUGCUUAGGCAUACAUUCUUUUUGGAUAAGUAUUUAUGGCUGUAUGUGAAUAUUUAUUAUGUGUGUAAUAUCUUCUACCUCUUUAAAAGUAUAGGAAAAACAAUAAAAGUUAUAUGGGUCUCAAACAUUAUUUAAUUCAUUGAAAAUCAUCUUAUGUGUUUUAAAUCUGUAUUCAAAGUAAUCCUAGGUAAGCACUUAUGAUAGUUAAAUUACAUGUUUUACUACUUGAGCAUUAGAAGUACCUUUAGUACAAAUUUAAAGGACUGCAAAAACCAGUAGAUAGUGCUGAUUUCAAAUACAGAAACUAAAUUUAUUUUAUUUCUUUUUUUCUUUUUCAUUUUUUUAUUUUAUUGACUGCUUUUUAUUUUAACUAUAUGUUCUUACAUGCUGCAAUCAUAAUGUAGUAUAAUGAUAUUAAUAUUUUAUAGAAUCCGUAUUUAUAGUUCUUUAUUUAGAAACAAUGCAGUAGGUCUGCAGAUCUUUGAAUCCUUCUGGAAUGGUGCCCUCCAAAUAAUGAUAAAUUACUUGUGCAGUAUGCCAUUUGCUAAUUAUAUCCAUGAUUUACUGCAGAGCAAGACUUAAAUCAUUCAUUUCAGUCUUGCGUAACAGUGCCAUAAAAUUUUUAGGUUUAAAAAUGGUUUCCAUGUGUAUAAUUUAAACAAAUUUUAGAGCAAUUGUAUACACAAAAUAUUGCAACCAUCCAUUUGUUACAUUCUUCGUCUCUUUUUAAAAAAAAAAAACUUUGUACUUUUAAUGAUUACUGUGGUUGAAAUUGUUAUGCUUCAUUUUCAUAAUCAUAGCUUUUAAUUCUACAACAGUUUUCUACAUGUUAGAUUAAGAAGAAGAUGGCUAAUUGUGUGUAGUUACCAUGUCAUUCCAGAAUAGCCCCACAUUCUGGAAACCUGCUUUAGAUAUAUUCAGUUUUUGAAUUACUCUUCAAUUAAAGGUGUUUCUUUUUUAAAAACGAAUUGUUAGUUGUAAGAUCUUGUUUUCAGGAAGCUAAUAAUGAUUUUUUUUUUUUCUUUACUCAUCCAUGCACCAAAGUGCAGUUAACCCUCCUCCU